CCGAGUCUGAAUAGGGCGGAAGUUUCAUGCGAUAAACCCGAAGCCGUACGAUCUAGCCAUGGGCAGGUUGAAGCCCCGGUGAAACGGGGUGGAGGACCGAACCAGUGCCUGUUGAAAAAGUCUUGGAUGACCUGUGGUUAGGAGUGAAAAGCUAAUCGAGUACGGUAAUAGCUGGUUCUCCCCGAUAUGCAUUGAGGUGCAGCCUCAUGUGAUGAGUCAUGGGGGUAGAGCUCUGGAUGGACGAGGGGGACAGAAGUCCUGCCAACUUCAACCAAACUGCGAAUACCAUGACUUUAACAUGGGAGUGAGACUACGGGUGAGAAGGUUCGUGGUCGUGAGGGAAACAGCCCAGACCGCCAGCUAAGGUCCCAAAGCAAUGCUAAGUGUGGCAAGGAUGUGGAGAUGCCUGGACAGCCAGGAGGUUGGCUUAGAAGCAGCCAUCCUUUAAAGAGUGCGUAACAGCUCACUGGUCGAGGAUCUCUGCGCCGACAAUGUAGGGGGC
rnacentral:rRNA from 1 species